UGAGCCAUAAUCCUCAGAUCUCAAGACUUGAGUAGCUAGCUAGGAUUUGAUUAUAGGCAUGUGCCACCAGCACCAGGCCAAAUUGAGUCUUAUUUUUAAAAGCUUGCUGUGUAAGUAACCCAAUAUCCUGAUGAACAGAACUUGUACUAUACCAAACAUCGGCGUAACCAAUGAAUAAAGACCACUACUGUGAAGACAAAACACAUACACGACUAAGCCGCACAUUGUCAAGUAAAUCACACUUCCAGUAAAUGAGCAUUUUGCAAAGUUGUACUCUGGAUAUUUGGCCUGUUGCCAUCAAAUGCCCAUUUUCCACUGCUAGAAGCAAUUUUUUUUUUUUAAAAAGGGCUGGCCCAGAGCUGUCAAUACAAUUCUGUAGACAGAUGCAACUGAAUAAACCCUGUUUUACCCAAUUGCACUCUAUUUGGUACCUCAAAAAAAAUCAGUCAUUUUUAUUUCCCAUAGAAAUAUCUUCCAUUGUGUCCAUCCUCACAUUUCAAUCUGAAUAAACCAUAUUAUUUGCAGACAGAAUGAACAGAUUUCAACCCGACUUGGUGUAGCAAUCAUCAAAUACUCUUUAAACAAAUUUCAAUGGGAAAAAAAAAAAAAAGCUCCUAAUUCAUAGUACAAGUUUUUUUUUUUUG